rnacentral:rRNA from 1 species
UACGGGGGGGGGCAAGCGUUGUUCGGAAUUACUGGGCGUAAAGGGCUCGUAGGCGGCCAACUAAGUCAGACGUGAAAUCCCUCGGCUUAACCGGGGAACUGCGUCUGAUACUGGAUGGCUUGAAUCCGGGAGAGGGAUGCGGAAUUCCAGGUGUAGCGGUGAAAUGCGUAGAUAUCAGGAGGAACACCGGUGGCGAAGGCGGGUCUCUGGGCCGAUACUGACGCUGAGGAGCGGAAGCGUGGGGAGCAAACAGG